rnacentral:tRNA from 1 species
GGGGGCAUAGCUCAGUUGGUAGAGUACCUGCCUUGCACGCAGGGUGUCGAGGGUUCGAAUCCCUCUGCUUCCACCA